rnacentral:lncRNA from 1 species
GGGCUGAAGAGCAUGGAAUCUAUUUGGGCAUUGCCCAAUGAUGGGGUUGAAGGAAGCACCCUGCAGAUUCGAGAGAUCGGACUGAGCUAAAGAAUAAUUAUGCUAGCUUUGAGGAUUGGGUCUAGUAUAAUAUCAGACUUUGUGACCUGACUCACCAUAUCUGAAACACACAUCACUGUCGGCUCAGCAUAUUCCCAUAUGAUACUUACCACAAGUCUGACAAAGAGGAUGGCUUCGGGCACUACUAACACUGCCCUGAGGUUUAGGACCUGGCAUCCUAUCUAUGAAUUUAGGGACUGGAGUACUGGACAAGGAAGGAAAUGGAACUGAAAACUUUUGGCAGAACUAAAAGCAGUUACCACCCCCUGACUUAGGCUGGUUGAAAUUGAGGCUACCUGUUCUAGCUAUCUUAUUUUCUCUUUUUCUUUCUUUCUUACUAC